rfam:Arabidopsis lyrata subsp. lyrata unplaced genomic scaffold ARALYscaffold_3, whole genome shotgun sequence.
AACCCGUGAUGAGGGCAUUCUCUGUAGUAGUCUUUGAACCGCUCCCAAGCAUCAUGGAACGAUUCUGUACCAUGCUGCUGAAAAGAAGAGAUCUUGUUCCUCAGAAU